CGACGAGUUUGAUCCUGGCUCAGGAUGAACGCUAGCGGCAGGCCUAAUACAUGCAAGUCAAGGGGAUAGCAAUAUCACCGGCGGACGGGUGCGUAACGCGUACACAACGUGCCCAAGGGCGGAGGAAAGCGGCGGGAAACUGCCGGUAAUACUCCAUGGUGUUGUUGAGUGGCAUCACUUAACAACUAAAGUACAAGCGCCCUUGGAUCGGUGUGCGUUCGAUUAGCUAGUUGGCGGGGUAACGGCCCACCAAGGCUUCGAUCGAUAGGGGGUNUGAGAGCAUGACCCCCCCACACGGGUACUGAGACACGGACCCGACUCCUACGGGAGGCAGCAGUAAGGAAUAUUGGACAAUGGGCGGAAGCCUGAUCCAGCCAUGCCGCGUGAAGGACGAAGGCGCUCAGCGUUGUAAACUUCUUUUGGAUGGGAACAAAUAACUCCGACUUGUCGGAACUUGAGGGUACCAUCAGAAUAAGCACCGGCUAACUCCGUG
rnacentral:rRNA from 1 species